GUGGUUUUAUUCAUCUCAUUCUACUUUUCUCGAGGGCUGACGUGUGCAUAAAAGGAGAACGUGAUCCCUUGCACAUGUUCUACAUGAGGGCUGUGUGUAGCACCAUCAGUAACUUAAAACAAGCUCUGCUGACUCUCACUCAAAGGGAUUGCUGAAUCCAAGCCAAUGCAAUUCAGACUGGCAUUUCUCCACCUCCUCUGGCCAGGGAAUGGUGUGAAAGGACAAUCCUGUUUCUCUACACCAGUGGUCAGUAGAAGAGGUAAAACAAUACAAGAAAAUGAGGAAUUAAUUGCCUCUUGUGACGUGUUGUCCCAGUUCCCCAAAAUGCGCCAUUUCUAGGACUUCCUGAGCUACACUUUGCAUCUAAGAUGGAUCAGAUUUCCAGUGUGUGAUUUUCAGACACAACCAGAACUGACUUGUAGAGGAAAGUGAUGGAGAACAG
rnacentral:lncRNA from 1 species